rnacentral:lncRNA from 1 species
UUCACUAUCUGGAACCUCUUAAUAUUUAUUUCAAAUAUUUAUCACAUCAUAACAUCAAACGGACACACAGGAAAAUCAAUUACCUGUUAUUAUAUCAUAACUUCGAGUCUUUAACUGACACAAAUUACACAAAUUAUUAUUAUUUUUUUGAAAUUUUGCGUGAAGAAUACUGACACACAGGAUGUCAAAAUAUCCUGUUAUUCUUCCUCUUCUCAUCCUAUUGGAAUGAGUUAAUACAAUUUGCCAGCUUCUACAGAAUGAUAUUCAGGAAUAAGAAAUGUAUCCGGAUGUUUGUUUUUUCUUUAUCAAAAACCUGAACCAAAGAUGUAUUAGUGAAUUAGACUGGCAAGUGACAAUCAUUGAAUACAAAAUUAAAGAUAUAGAAGGUACGACAUAAAAGAUGUCUUCCCAUGGACGUGUAUCGAAUUACAUGCACAAGACAGAAAUAAGGAAAGGGAUCCAGAAAUAAUUCACCCUGAUAUGCUUUUGUUAGUUGUAUUGAAAGGAAAUAUAUACACUUCCUAAGAAACCAUUCUGGAUCUCUGGUGUCCCAUUACCUACCUCACUAUAGUUAAGAAUGGGUUGUUUCCAUACAUAUCCUACAUUUUCUUAAUCGUCACAUGUCUACUACAGAAAAACCCAAAGAUUUUUGGCUUCUUAAAUGUUCCUUCCAACAACACAGUUGGGUUCCUGUUUUAUCGAUACAUAAUGGUUAUAAAUGCCACACUUUAUCCGCAUCUCAAACAAACAUGUAAUCGGGUGGAUUCUGUUCUGGAUCUGCCUAAAUACCCUCGAUUACUUUAAUUAAAAAUUAAAAAUGAAGGAAUUCCAUCUGUUAUCUUUCAUUUUUGUUCAGCCUUGGAUUUAACCAGCCUCCACUGCUCUCCAAUUAGCCUUUCUCUGACAGGAGACCCUCCAAUGAGCUUUACUCUGAUCAUAGAUUAAAUGCUUAGUAUUUGAAUUUUUUCUUUUCUUAAGAGAGCUUUAUGAUGCCAACAUGUCAAGUACACCAAGGUACAAAUGGUUGUAUUUGGUACAUGAUCAAGAUAUUCCUUAUUUGUAAAUCCUACUGGUUGUUUCAUGUAGAGAUUGUUUCAUUUAGAUAUCUAUUGAGAAAAACAUUUCUCAUAUCUAAUUACCUUAAUUCUCAGUCAUGAAUGACAGCUAUUGAGAUUAUCAGUCUUACAUUACUCAUUCUAACCACAGGACUAUAGGUAGUAGUAUAAUCUACUCCCUCUUGGUCGUAUCCAUUAGAAACUAAUCUGGCGGGCUUUGUAUCUUUCGAUUGAUCCAUUGGCCCUUCUUUUGAUCUUAUAUACCCAUUUACAUCUCCUAUAUAUUCAUGUAUUUUUCAUUUGGUACUAGAAAGUAUUUUGCUCAAUCUGAAAAAGAUACUCAAUUGGGGACAAUUGAUUCUAAUGAAGGGGCACAUGAUGCAGAACAUAGUACUUAUUCUAUUCAGAGUCAGUCUGAAUUGCUAUUUGACAAUGCUUAUUUGGGUGAAGGACAGAGUGGGCCUCUAUCAAUUAAUGAAGAGGCCUAUACAUGAUCUGACUUUGCUCGCAGAAAAGAUUUUAAUCGGAAUAGAAAAAAACCCCCAAAUCAGACUCUAAUACCAUGUAAGAUUUAGAAUGUGAUGAAAGAAGGAGAAGAAGGAUGGUUUUAGAGGAAGGAUUCAAGCGCUUAUAUAGAGAAGAAGAAAGCAGAUUGAUUGUAACCGACGAUGAUCGGAAGUUAGAGGAAGAUUGGUUGAGAGGAAGCAACAAGAACUAACAAAGGAGAGAAAUGAGAAAUAGAAAAAAGAUCCUGUUCAUUAAAGAAUUAACUGAAAAGUAUUAUUAUAAAACUCAUUACCUUUAUACUAAUACAAGUUUUGGUGAUAAAUGAUAAUGAUAAAUUACCAAACUAUCAUUACUGGUACAUAUAUAAUAAGAUCCUUGAUGUUAUUAUUACUCCUUACAUAGGGUACACCAUAGUAUGGUGUUGGGAUUCCACUUUAGAUAGAGGGUACAUCAUAGAAUUGCAUCUUCUCGGUAUAAUUGUUUGUAUUAGUAGAGGGAACCCACACCCCCCCUCUUUAGGAACCAAAGAGGCAUAAGACAAAAUGAUCCCAUAUCUCCCAAAUUAUUUGACACGGUAAUGGAUGUUUUAAAUAGGCUAAUAGAGAGAGAAAAAGAUUGAUGAUGUGUUAAAGCUACCAGGUGAAUGAAGCUACCUCUAUCACUCAUCUAAUAUAUGUUGAUGAUGUGUUAAUCUUCACCAAGGCAAAUCAUAAAUCUCUGGUCUCCAUCCAAAGCACAUUAGAACCCUUCACCCAAUUCUCUGGAUUGGAGGUAAACUCCAGUAAAAAAGCUCAGCAACAUUCUCUAACGUCUGUGAGGAUGAUCAAUCUCUCCAUAACAUCUUAGGGUUCUCAUUAAAAAACUCACCAUCACCUACCUGGGGUUACCAAUCAUAAGUAAAAGGAAAUCCUAUAUCCAGUGCUGGAAAUUAAUUCAGCCAAUCGAAGCCUAUAAGUGAUACAGAUGUAAAUAAUGGGGGAGAGUUUGGUGCUGAUUGACUCAUCUUUGAAUUGUAGAGAUAAUUAUACUGUGGUAUGGAGAGUAGGGACCCAAUGUUAGGUGGAAUUUGUGAAAUGAUUAGGAAUAGAAGUCACAAAGAUCAACUUGCAAAUAGUAUAUGACUAUAUGGUCCCAUAUGCCAACCAAAUUCUCCAUAAUAACAUGGAGAAUUAAAUGGGGUCAUUUUAAAACUUUCAUGAGAUUAAGAGGAUGAGGUGAACCAAUUUAUUCUUUAAUCAAGAAGCCAUUUAUUCUUUAAAUGCUUAAGGUCCAUACUUAUCCCUCAAGUGAAAAUGCUCAACCAUUCUUCUGAAAAAUAAUGAAUAUCACUAUCCCCUCUUCUAACGAUCCUGACAUAAGACCGUGGGAUCUAACAGAGGCCUUUCAGAACAACACUCAUCACUCACCUACUUGGAGCCUGCUAUGGAAUGCUAUAGGAGUCAUAUCAUGGCACAUAUGGUCUGAGAGAAAUCGAAGAUUAAAACAACACACUGCGACCUCCAGAAGUUUUGCUUAGAGAAAUCAUCAAGGAUAUCAACCACCUAAGGCAGUUUAUCUGAUCGAUUGUCACUAGGUAGCAUAGCCAAUUGGAAAGUGUCAAUAGGACAACAAAAUCAUCUCCCUUUUUAUCUUUUUUGUUUCUCCAAACUUAAAAAACUAACAGAAUAAAGCAAAAAUAGAUAUGUACAGCUGUAAACUAACUGAUUAUCUACCAAUACAAACCUCUAACUUCUUGUACCAUUCAAUAUGAGACCAGUACCACCGCAUCAAGUUCUUGACAUUUAUAUCAAAUUUUAUGAUUGAAAGAAUAAUAGUCUUAC